GAAUGUGAGGGUGACCUGGCGCUGACAAGCCACCCCACUGCUCACCAGUGGUUUUUCAACUGACCGGACGGGCUUGCCGGGUGGCCCUUUUCCCCUCCAUAGUUCUUUGACUGUCCUUUUUAAAGCAGAAUUCUCCAUCAAAAAGGAAACCGUUUUAAAUGUUAAAGAAUUGUUUCUGUUGGAUGUCUACUUAAGUAUUAACUUUCUAGAUAAUCUAAUCUUUAUAGGACUGAAAAAUAGCAAUAGAAAAUUGAUUAGAGUAAGAAAUUCC
rnacentral:snRNA from 1 species